rnacentral:rRNA from 1 species
CACGUAGGGUGCGAGCGUUGUCCGGAAUUAUUGGGCGUAAAGAGCUCGUAGGCGGUGUGUCGCGUCGGCCGUGAAAACCUGCAGCUUAACUGUGGGCUUGCGGUCGAUACGGGCAUCACUGGAGUUCGGUAGGGGAGACUGGAAUUCCUGGUGUAGCGGUGAAAUGCGCAGAUAUCAGGAGGAACACCGGUGGCGAAGGCGGGUCUCUGGGCCAUUACUGACACUGAGAAGCGAAAGCAUGGGGAGCGAACAGG